CAUUGUAAUGGCUGGAACGUAAUUGACAGAACGGUGUCAAUGUGUUUUCCAUAUGUUUGAUACCAUUUAAUUUACUCCAUUCCAGCCAUUACGAUGAGCACGUCCUCCUAUAGAGUCUCCCACCAGCCGACACUGAUAGAUAGUUUGCAAAUGGGUUUAAUAAACUAUUUAAUGUUCUUUUCUAGAUGUUUCUGGACUACACUUUCUGUCCGCAUCACCUGUGGUCCAUUUUGUUCAGGCUGGACAAAAUGCUUCCCUGUCAUGCAACCUCACAACCAGUAAAGAAAUAAUCUGGCUCCAAAUGCGCUCAGAGGAACUUGUUAUCCUUUUAACUGUUAACAAGGCAUCACAUUUUCUAAAUACUUCAGCAGUUAAUGAGGAAAUCAUGGGUCACUUUGACACAAAGGAAAACAACAGUUUGGAGAUCAUUGUGGUGACAGAAGCAGAUUUGGGACUGUACUACUGUGCUGAUCGCUACCAUGGGACAAUGCGAUUUGGAAAAGGCAUCCGUCUGACUUUUGCAGAUGCAGAGGUGGCGGAAAUGGAGGUGGUGUCGUGUUGUACUCUCCUGGCCUGUGUUGCCCCAGUCUCAGUCUUGUUCGACACCCUCUGUCUCUUUGGACUCUGUUUCCGGUCAGAUGCAGAGGUGGUGUCGUGUUGUACUCUCCUGGCCUGUGUUGCCCCAGUCUCAGUCUUGUUUGGCACCCUCUGUCUCUUUGGACUCUGUUUCCGGUCAGGUGAGCUUGCUGCAAUUCCUUGGUUUGCACUUAUUUUUCAUCAGUGCAUCAAAGCCUAUGCAAUAUAUACAGUCACGUCCAUAAUUAUUGGCACCCUUGAUGAAGAUGAGUAAAAAAACACUAUAAAAUAAAUAAUACUGAGCUAUAAUGCAUGAAAACAAAGGGGGAAAUUAUAUUAUUUCAUAAUAAUAGAAUAGCUCAGAGGAAGAGAUUACAAAAAUACAUACAUUCUUGAAAAGAUAGGGGUCAAAUUUAUUGGCAACCCUGUUUUCAGUACUCCAUCAUCCUACCCUUGCAAGGAUAACAACACUGAGCCUUUUUCUAAAAUAAUUUAUGAGAUAAUAUGUGUGAUUAACGGGGGCUGAGCUAGAGUGUUGUUUGUGAGACAAUGGUGCAUCCCGAAGGGGUCCGGGGCCGGAUCUUUUUACAAAAAUGUCUGUAGAGUCUGAAUGGUUAGAGCUACAAACUAUUAAAAGCUAUCUGUUAUCUGCUGACGCUCACAAGAUACAAAAGAGUCAUUAGAAGGUAAAGGUUUGUUCUACAUGGAAGAUCAUAGGAAGUCCAAGACCAUAGUUUCUAUAAUGUUGUAAUAAGCUCACAGUUGCUGCCACAAACUCCAAACUUCACACAGUUGUCAAUAACUAGUUGGAUAUUUAUUUCCCACUGAGCCAAAAAUGUCUGUGCAUUAAAUUUAUCAGGUUUAUGAUUUUGCUGACCAAAUUUUUGUAUUGACAUUUCUCAAUAAAACUCAUGAAUGUUUAUUUCAAAUUGUUUUGGUAAAAUACUACAUUGUGAGGCUAAAUAUAAGGGCUGGACAUGCAGAUACAUGAAAGUCAGAUAAAUGAAAAUACGAUGCACCUGAGCUCAAUUUCGAGUCUAAUAGCAAAGGGUCUGAAUACUUAUGUAAAUUAGAUAUUUGCGUUUUUUAUUUUGAAUAAAUGUGCACACAUUUAAAAAAAUCUGUUUUCGCUUUUUUCAUUAUGGGGUGUUGUGUAGAGGCUGAUGAGGGAAAAUUUGUAUUUAAUCCAUUUUAGAAUAAGACUGUAACGUAACAAAAUGUGGAAAAAGUCAAGGGGUCUGAAUACUUUCCAAAUACGCUGUAUACUGAGUGUACAAACAUAUAGAGUGUGUGAGCAUGUGAGCUGAGCAGAGAUUUAACAGAAAACACACAAAAAACAUAAAGCAAAGUACUGAUUUUACUUUGAGGCACUAUGAUGUUUAGGGCUUUUAAGCUGGAACUAAUGUACCAAAAGUCUGUUGAUUAUGUCAUUGUACAUAUAUUGGAGACAGACUGUCACUUAAGUAUUGUGAUCAGUUUGUAUUACCUUGUUUAAUUUAAUAAAAAUAUAGUGGCUGGUGGGGGUCUACUUGGGCAGAGUGGGUCCACCGAGAGACUUUAGUGAGAUGAGUGGAGGCCCCACACACACCUCAGAGAAGUGUCUGAUGCCCUCCCAGUCACCAUUCAAAAAUCCCUCGGAUAGAGCCCAUCUCUGCUCUUACCAAUAACCACUACUGAAUCUUAGCUAUAAUGACAAACAAGGAAUAAUAAUGACUACAAAAUAGUAGCAAUUAGAAAGGCACCCUGACAGGGACAACUUAUAAUAUGGUUAUGUGCUAAAAGAGCAAGGAUUUCCUGGUUACUAAAAACAAUUCUGAAGUUGACUUUAUUCUCAAAAUUACAUUUAUUUAGUUAUAAUAAACAUUUAGUUUAUUCUCGAAAUAUUGCAGCUUUAUUCACAAAAUUGAAUUUGGACUUUAUUCACAAAAAUGUAUUUCAACUUUAUUCUAGAAAUGUUUACUUUAUUCUAUAAGUAUUUAAAGUUUUAAAAGUACUAUCCGUGCCCCAAAAAAUUGAAAUCCUCUUGGCCCUAAUACUCUUCUGUACUUCUUUGAGCAAAAUAAUAUAAUUUCCCCUUUUUUGGAGAAUACAAUGAAGAUCAGUAUUUUCUAUUAUUUAUUUGAUGCUGUCUUUUUUGUUCAUCUUUAUCAAGGGUUUAAUAUUAUGUACAGUAUACAGUUGAAGUCGGAAGUUUACAUACACUUAGUUUGGUGUCAUUAAAACUUGUUUUUCAACCACCCCACAAAAUUCUUGUUAACAAACUGUAGUUUUGGCAAGUCGGUUAGGACAUCUGCUUUGUGCAUGACACAAGUAAUUUUUUUCAACAAUUGUUUACAGACAAAUUAUUUCACUUAUAAUUCCAGUGGGUCAGAAGUUUACAUACACUAAGUUGACUGUGCUUUUAAACAGCUUGGAAAAUUCCAUCUUGGAAAAUAAAAAAGUUUUAUGCUUUUCUUAACUCCUGUU
rnacentral:lncRNA from 8 species